rnacentral:rRNA from 1 species
GACGAACGCUGGCGGCGUGCCUAAUACAUGCAAGUCGAGCGCAGGAAACUGACGGAACUCUUCGGAGGGAAGGCAGUGGAAUGAGCGGCGGACGGGUGAGUAACACGUAAGGAACCUGCCUCAAGGAUUGGGAUAACUCCGAGAAAUCGGAGCUAAUACCGGAUAGUUCAACGGACCGCAUGGUCCGCUGAUGAAAGGCGCUCCGGCGUCACCUUGAGAUGGCCUUGCGGUGCAUUAGCUAGUUGGUGGGGUAACGGCUCACCAAGGCGACGAUGCAUAGCCGGCCUGAGAGGGUGGUCGGCCACACUGGGACUGAGACACGGCCCAGACUCCUACGGGAGGCAGCAGUAGGGAAUCUUCCACAAUGGACGAAAGUCUGAUGGAGCAACGCCGCGUGAGUGAUGAAGGUUUUCGGAUCGUAAAACUCUGUUGUAAGGGAAGAACACGUACCGGCGUAACUACCGGUACCGUGACGGUACCUCACCAGAAAGCCACGGCUAACUACGUGCCAGCAGCCGCGGUAAAAC